CGGUUUCCCCCAUUUCUCUCUCUCACACACACACACACACACAAAAAACCCUAGAGAGACUGAGAGGCUUCAAUUCCCCCCGCCGGCGAAAAUGUCGAUGUCGAAGAGCUCGAAGAUGCUGCAGUACAUCAACUACCGGAUGCGGGUGACAAUUCAGGACGGUCGCCAGCUCAUCGGAAAAUUCAUGGCGUUCGACCGCCACAUGAAUCUCGUCCUCGGCGACUGCGAGGAGUUCCGCAAGCUGCCGCCGACUAAAGGCUCCAAGGAGGAGCGGGAGGACCGCCGCACCCUCGGCCUCGUCCUCCUCCGCGGCGAGGAGGUCAUCUCCCUCACCGUCGAGGGGCCUCCACCCCCCGACGACUCCCGCCUCAAAACCGCAUCCGCCACGGCGGUCCCCGGUCCCGGAAUUGGACGCGCCGCCGGACGCGGCGUCGUCACCGGCCCGCUCUCCCAGGCGCAGCCCGGUCUUGCCGGCCCCGUCCGCGGCGUGGGCGGGCCGGCUCCCGGCAUGAUGCAGCCGCAGAUAUCGCGGCCGCCGCAGAUUUCCGUUCCCCCAAUGCCGUACCCGCAGCAGCCGCCGGUGGUUAGGCCGCCGUCUGUUGCGCCUCCGCAGGGAGGGUUCCCGCCGAGGCCAGGGAUGCCGAUGCCGCCUCCGCCGCAGUUCAGGCCUGGUGGUCCUCCGCCGGCUGGGUUCGGUCCUCCGCCUCAGUAUGGACAGAGGCCGCAGAUGAUGCCGCCGCCUCAGAUGAUGAGGGGUCCGCCGCCUCCUGGUGGCCCCCCGAGGCCUGGAAUGCCUGGUGGUCCUCCGCCUGGGCAGCAGCCACCGAGACCUGGUAUGGCUCCUCCGCCACCACCGGGUGGACAAAUGCAGAUGUUUGGUCCGCCUAGACCAGGAAUGCCGCCGCCCAACGCCCCUCAGAAUCAGCAGCAGUAAUCAAGGUUACCUCGUUAAAAAAGCUACUGGGGGAUUUCUAGUUCAAUCUUUGGGGCUUUUGUACUGUUGAUUCGUGUUUACUUGGAUCAUUUCUAUGGUUGGAGUUUCUCGGGGGUAUUUUUCUGUUAUCUGCAUCUUGUUUUUAUCUUCAAGUUCAGCUGAAAUUUCGGUUUAGAUGGUUGGUUUUGAUUUUCAAUAUUGAAAAGAACAAAUCAAUUGUCAUAUGGUAUCUGGUCUGUAAUUGUAGACACGCAUUGAAACCUGAUUUAGGGAAAAAGGGAAAAAGGCAAUAUUUCUUCUAA